rnacentral:misc_RNA from 1 species
ACGGUUCCGCACUCGUGUGCUGCCUCCUCAGCGUACCCUUUCGUUGUCUAUCUUCUUGUUUGCGCGCACGCUCUCCGUCACAUGUCCUGAUCGCUAGCGUCGAUACCACACGAAGAGCGAGAGGGCAAGAAGAACAGCAGCGAAGGUUGUCGGUGGUGUCGUUAUCCGCCUACCCCCACCCCCGGGCAGCCCUGGCGUUUGUGUAGAACAUCGACGCAUCCCCCCCUCCCCCACGGCCUUCCUCAUACCUCCCUCUCACUGACGUUUCCGCCCAAGUGCCACCUACGCGAGCACGUGCCGACAAGGGCAUGCAGCGGUGUGCCGUCAUUCCUUGAGGCCUGUCACUAACUCUCCGAGGCAAUCAUUCUGAAGCGACAGCAGCUGCUGCAAGCAAGGAAAGGGGAUAAAGACGGAGCUCUCAUGUCGCCGGCUUGUGUGCGUGCAAUGUGAGUGGGCUGGUGCGAGUGCCGGCACGCCCGUUCGCUUGACGGUGUUGAACAGAUCCCUUUACGCCAUCAAGGCCCACAGCGGGCGUGUGUGUACUUGCGCGUCUGUCGGCUCGUCUGCCCUGUACGACUCGGUGAGUUUUCAUGUGUGCACUACCUGCGCGGCACCGUUCGCUAGUGUCGUGUUGCAUACACAGACACACAUAUAUGUAUCUUGUAAGGUGUUGCUCCGACAUUCUUUUUCUUUGCGUUUUUAUUUUCUGGCGUCUUUCUCCAUCCCUCUCUGUGCGCCUGUGUGUACAUGUGUGUGUGUGUGUGUGUGUUCGCUUAAGAACUCGCACAUGCUGUUGUCUUUGUCUCUCUUCCUCCUCCU